rnacentral:rRNA from 1 species
UACGUAGGGGGCGAGCGUUGUCCGGAUUCAUUGGGCGUAAAGCGCGGGCAGGCGGCCCGCUCAGUCGGCCGUGAAAGCGCCGGGCUCAACUCGGCGCGGUCGGGCGAUACUGGCGGGCUGGAGGCUGGUAGAGGGCGGUGGAAUUCCGGGUGUAGUGGUGGAAUGCGUAGAGCUCCGGAGGAACACCAGUGGCGAAGGCGGCCGC